rnacentral:rRNA from 1 species
AGGAAUAUUGGUCAAUGGGCGAGAGCCUGAACCAGCCAAGUAGCGUGAAGGACGACGGCCCUACGGGUUGUAAACUUCUUUUAUAAGGGAAUAAAGUUCGCCACGUGUGGUGUUUUGUAUGUACCUUAUGAAUAAGCAUCGGCUAAUUCCGUGCCAGCAGCCGCGGUAAUACGGAAGAUGCGAGCGUUAUCCGGAUUUAUUGGGUUUAAAGGGUGCGUAGGCGGACUGCCAAGUCAGCGGUAAAAUAGCGGGGCUCAACCCCGUCGAGCCGUUGAAACUGGUGGUCUUGAGUGGGCGAGAAGUACGCGGAAUGUGUGGUGUAGCGGUGAAAUGCAUAGAUAUCACGCAGAACUCCGAUUGCGAAGGCAGCGUACCGGCGCCCGACUGACGCUGAAGCACGAAAGCGUGGGUAUCGAACAGGAUUAGAUACCCUGGUAGUCCACGCAGUAAACGAUGAAUGCUAGCUGUCCGGGACGAAUGAGUCCUGGGUGGCACAGCGAAAGCGUUAAGCAUUCCACCUGGGGAGUACGCCGGCAACGGUGAAACUCAAAGGAAUUGACGGGGGCCCGCACAAGCGGAGGAACAUGUGGUUUAAUUCGAUGAUACGCGAGGAACCUUACCCGGGCUCAAACGCACUACGAAUGAUGCUGAAAGGUGUCAGCCAGCAAUGGCGUAGUGCGAGGUGCUGCAUGGUUGUCGUCAGCUCGUGCCGUGAGGUGUCGGCUUAAGUGCCAUAACGAGCGCAACCCCUACCGACAGUUGCUAACUGGUCAAGCAGAGGACUCUGUCGGGACUGCCGGCGCAAGCUGUGAGGAAGGCGGGGAUGACGUCAAAUCAGCACGGCCCUUACGUCCGGGGCGACACACGUGUUACAAUGGCAGGUACAGCGGGAAGCCACCUGGCGACAGGGAGCGGAACCCGAAAACCUGUCUCAGUUCGGAUUGGAGUCUGCAACCCGACUCCAUGAAGCUGGAUUCGCUAGUAAUCGCGCAUCAGCCAUGGCGCGGUGAAUACGUUCCCG